rnacentral:rRNA from 1 species
AUGGGGUUCAUUCACAAGGGUGGGGUUUGGUGGUUCCUCCUGCUCGCCGGGGUGCUGCUGGCUGCGGCGGCGGCAGCAGGCGCGGAGCAGGACGAUGGGGCGGUAGCCACUGCUGUCCCGGAGGUGGAGGAGGCGGAUGAGGCCCGUCUGCGCGUCGAUGAUCCGGAGGAGAACGACUCGUGCGACCUCAAGUGCCAACACCACCAAGUUCCGGCGAGGAAAAAGCAGGCACAACAUUUUAAGAACCAACAUGUGCUUAGAUGGUUAGGAGAGUGGUUGUACCCAGCCCAUCAGAGAUCAAAAGCCCAGGCAAACAAGCCCUUUGUAGAGUGCCUGGAGGAACAUCUUCGAGAAGGAAUCACUCUUUUGAAAGGGAACAUCUAA